ACCCCAAAAAGAAAAAAAAAUCCUAGCACAACUUUUCCUCGUUGAGGAAGCGGCGACAUUGAGGUCUCUGCCGUUGCGGCGAGCCAUAUCUCGGUUGAGCUUGGGCACCGCCGGCCAUUUCUGAUUUCUGCCAUGCCCUGCUCUGCCCUCCUGCUAGUAGCCGUUCAUUCGCCUCCAGCGUGCGGGCGCACACCGUCGACCGUCGUACGAGAUGACGCUCCGCCACCGCCGGACGGGAGGCUGGGAGGAGGGAGGGAGAGGGAGGGAGAGACGGUCGGCGAGCCGCGGCGUGAGGCGAAGAAGCAGCCGUCGCGGGAUAUUCGCAAACGACCCCCCAGCACCCCGGUCGGGGUUGGCUCCUCCUCCCAUCUGUCGGCCGCCGCCGCCCUCCGCGCCCGUCCGCCGGCAGCGCCUAGCGUUAUCCCAGCCACCGUUCCCACAUCCAGGACCUAGCAUCAACGAGCUCUCCGUAAACUGCGCGGAAUAGCUCGUCAGCAAGCGAGGAGUCCAGUGGCCAGGGCGGCGGCCGCCGCGUGGCGUCCCGGAGCUUCGGCCGCUUUCGGACCUAGAUGUUCGCCGUGGCCGGCAGCCGGCCGGUGCUUCGCCUGGAGCCGCAGACGGUGCGCUGCCGUGUUUUCGAUCAGAGAUCCAGAGCCAGCUAUUGCAACCACCCACGAGACGGAGUGGAACCUGAUGUUUCUCGCCCAUCUCAGACGGCCGUGAGGUGUUCGUGGAAAUGCUUGGACGGGGAUGGCUGAGCGUGACACAGUUUCAGGCGCCGUGCUCAAAUUGGAGGAUGCAGUCUAGGAGGCCGCUCAGCCGCUGCCCCUCUUGCAUAGCUCGAUCUCGUUGGAAUUCUGGACCAACAAGGAUUAUGCAGUGUCAGUGCCAUGCCGUAUGCCGAGGAGUUAACAAUCUCGUACAGGCUUGCAUCGCCUGGCUACUCCAGGGCACAAUCAACAGUAAAACCAUGUUCGUGAUGGUGAGAGGAGAUGGUGAUUCAUGUGCCAGAUUUCUCUGGGCCCUUUUGGGCUUCUGACGCAGUGAUGCUGCACCAGGUUCCAGUGCUCUGAGGUGGUGGUUCACAUCCACACAUAUCACUGAUGGUCCAAAGGAGAGUGACGCCAAAACUGUACACAUCGCACUUCAUCGAUAAAAUAUGUUCAUGUACGUACUCUGGAGCUAUAAAUCCCCUGAAUGAUUAAGUAAAAUGAAAUGAUGUAAGAGAAGAUAAAUAAAUCAAAAUUGAAAAGUGCUAUAUAUAUGCACAUCUUGGGCCCAUGCUCCUCUGGUUCUGAAUGCAAGUCGUUCAGGACAACAAUAGAGUCUCCAUUCCUCCAAUAUGACAUGGUUUGCAAUUUUUGUAAAAUUGUUUUAAAUAGAUAGCUAUAUAUUAUGAAGGUGUGUAACAUGGCGAAUCUAGUAAAAAGACCUAGAUUUGAAAUCAGAGGGAGUAUUUUAGAAUGACUGGUCUUACGGUGUGCCAAGUGAUCUCAUCAUCAUGGCCCAACCUUUUAGCUGUCCCAAAAUUGCUAAUCUUAGGGUUCAUGUUACAAUCCAAGAGAAUGUUCCUAUGCUUCAUAUCCAAAUGGACAAUGCGUUGCUUAUGUAGGUAGUGUAUGCCUCGUGCAAUCCCUUUAAUUAUUUGGAAGCGAGUGGGCCACUUAACAUUGCCUGCAAAUUACAGAAGAUGCAUAUAGCCAUGUACAGGCAACUAUAAGUUAGAGACAAAUAAAUUUACAAAGGGUUAGGAGAUGCAUCUUUUUCUGGCGGUGAACUGUAAUUUGUAUUUCGGCAGCAAUGCAUAUACUACCUUGAGUAAUAAAGCCGUACAUGCUCCCAUUUCGCAUGUAUUCUUCGACGAAACAAUAAGUCGGUUGUUUAUCUCCAGCGUAUUCAUCAUCCAAGCAAGCCAAAGCCACUUUGAUUUCAUGGCAGUAUCCCAGACAUCUAACUAUAUUUUUGUGGCUAGUCUCUGAAACAAUAUUAACUUCAUUGUAUAUGUGUUUCUCUUUCUCAUCACGUGAUGGAGGGUCGGGUGCUUGUUUCUUGAUGGCAACCACACGCCCAUCGUGUAAUCGACCCUAAAAAGUAAUGAGCACAGAGUCAAAUGAUGGGUUCGUGACAUCUUAUUAUAAAAUAUACAAGAACAAGAGCUAGUGUCCAAGGCACCACAGAAAUCCUAGGACCAAGAAUAUCCGGGGAAGCGUAAAAAUUCUCAAAAUAAGCAACUACAUCUGAGCAUCCAUUUUGUUUAUCUCUAAGGAUCAGUAACAGCAUUAGCCAUAAGCCUCACAGCUGGAUGCUUCACUACCCGUAGUUGUUCUGAACCAAAGAUCAAUAAAAGAAAAACUACCUGUUUGAUUCCAAUGGUAUAGCAAUGCUUUACAUUUGUGGACGGAAGUAUAUAUUAUAUAUAAUAAGUGUGUACCUUGUAGACAUUGCAAAAACCACCUUUUCCUGUGCGUUUCUUCUUCGAGAAAUUAUUCGUCGCGACCUUCAACUCAAACAAGCUGAACUGUGUGAAGCCUGUCGAACAGAUACUGACAUAGUUUAAUACAAUUUCAUUAUUUAAUUUAUUAUGCAACAAGCCAACAAUGCAAUCUCCCUCUGAAGAAAGAAGCCAAGUGGUAAUUAAUUAGUAUAAUAAUUAAACACUGAAAAAUCAGUGGUGUGGAGAUCAAUGCAAGUUACCUUUAAACCACCCGUGGGGGCGGAGGACUGCGGCCGUACGCAAGGGUGCCCACUUCUGGAUCGUACACGAAUGUGUUCUCGAUCGUCCUGAACCGUCUCAUGAAGCGCUCGUCGUAGGCCUCCUGUUGCUGUGCGUUAGAUUCUCCAGCAUGCUGCUCUCCGUCUUCGUCAUGGUGUCCGCCUUGGUGGCGCGGAGCUCCUUGAUCUUGUUGAGCACGGCACCAGUGAUCUUCUCCAUGCUGCCCAAGGCGGAGCGAGGCGAGAUGAGUUAGAAGCUAAGCAAUCGCCGGCCAGUAGCAAGGCUUCCCCGGAGAUGAGUUAGAAGCAAGCAAUGGCGCUCUUAAUUAGCUAGUAUUUAAGGCCUAAUUGGGCGACCAUUUGAUGAACCUCGCCAAGGCAAAGGACAAAAGUAAGGUCAUCUGCUCCAUUUUAGAAUGACAAGAGACGGCUGCUACUCGGGUGAAUGCUUGGACUGGGGAUAUGAUCGACACAGCGAUUCAGAACAAAUUUGAUCAGCUGAUGAACAACGCGUGGAAACGCAUCAUGCUCUGCCCCUGUCCUUUCUUCGUUCCUUGUGCGUUUGUGCUUGUUCGUCGGCGUCGCCACCAGGGUAUUGCAGCAUCGACCAUUUAUAUAUGACGGUAUUCAUGCUGACGAAGGACUGCUGGUGACCAUUUAUAAUAGGCUAAUAGCCGUUGCUGUGGCGACAUCUCUGUCAAGUCGUUGGCUGCAACAACUGCACACGCUGCCGUACACAUGCACACCCUGAUAACGCACUUAGUACAAAUUAUUAGCUGUGGUCUGCAUGGAAACUUCUCACAAUCAUCUAUAAAGCAGGCUUCAAAAAAGAAAUCCUUUCUGGAUUAGGUGACUGUAUCUAAAAGGAAAGAGGGAAAAAAAAAUGAAAAUACCUCUGUGGAUGUUCUUGAGAUGCUAGCUACAUGGCAAGAAAGUUCUGCUAACCCCAAAGAAACCAGGAUGCAUCAGCCAAUGAAAUGCCACGGAUUGCGUUGCCUUGAAUGUGGAUUUAGUAUGCCCAUUUGACCUUGACUUGCAAAGGAGUUGGUAGUCAUAUCAAAUGUUUGCUUGUAUUUAUCUGUGGGAUAAGAUCUUUGAGGAUGAUGGUGCUGGUUCUAGUUCUGCUAGUUCUGCUGGUCUUGGUGCUGGGCUUGGUGGUUCUCCCUCCUUGCAUAGGAGGUCAUGUGCUUAGUGCCUUGCUGCAGGCUGCUAGUUCUGGUGCUUGUCUAGCUGAUGCUUCUGAACUUUCUGCCUACCUGGACAGUGAUACUGUUAAUCAGUACGACAAUGAUUUCAACAUUUUGAACUGGUGGCAUGAGCAAAAACUACCAUAUCCUGUUCUUUCAAUCCUAGAAAGAGAGGUUAUGAUUGUGCCUGUUUCUACAAUAUUGUCAGAAUCUGCUUUUAAUACUACUAGCGGGAUCAUCGAGGAGCGGUGACGGCGUCUGGGCCUUGAGAUGGUGGAGAUGCUAGCUCUAGUGAAGGAUUGGAAGCUAGAAGAUGCAAGACUUCAGGAUUCCGUGGAGGAUCAAGAACUCGAAGACUCUUCCCAGAACUUGUUUCUUGACGAAGAAUCUAUGUAAUAUGAUUUGUGGUGUACUGGUGUGGACACGUUGUCCAGAACUUGAACUUGAAGUGAUGUAUUUGAACAA